rnacentral:rRNA from 1 species
AGACAAUAGAUACCCUGGUAGUCCUGGCCCUCAACGUUGCUCGCUCGUUUUACGGAGUAUCGACCCUCUGUGAGACUAAAGCUAACGCGGUAAGCGAGCCGCCUGGGUAGUACGAUCGCAAGAUUAAAACUCAAAGGAAUAGACGGGGACUCGCACAAGCAGUGGAUUAUGCGGCUUAAUUCGUCGGUAAACGAAGAACCUUACCAAGGUUAGAAACCCAACUGCAUCCGACCUGAAAGGGACGGAGCCUUCGAGGGUGUUGGGCAGGUGAUGCAUGGUCGUCGUCAGUUCGUGGUUUGAACUGUUCCCUUCAGU